rnacentral:rRNA from 1 species
AUUGAACGCUGGCGGCAGGCUUAACACUUGCAAGUCGAGCGGGGUGAUGGUGCUUGCACUAUCACUUAGCGGCGGACGGGUGAGUAAUGCUUAGGAAUCUGCCUAUUAGUGGGGGACAACAUCUCGAAAGGGAUGCUAAUACCGCAUACGUCCUACGGGAGAAAGCAGGGGAUCACUUGUGACCUUGCGCUAAUAGAUGAGCCUAAGUCGGAUUAGCUAGUUGGUGGGGUAAAGGCCUACCAAGGCGACGAUCUGUAGCGGGUCUGAGAGGAUGAUCCGCCACACUGGGACUGAGACACGGCCCAGACUCCUACGGGAGGCAGCAGUGGGGAAGAUUGGACAAUGGGGGGAACCCUGAUCCAGCCAUGCCGCGUGUGUGAAGAAGGCCUUAUGGUUGUAAAGCACUUUAAGCGAGGAGGAGGCUCUUUUGGUUAAUACCCAAGAUGAGUGGACGUUACUCGCAGAAUAAGCACCGGCUAACUCUGUGCCAGCAGCCGCGGUAA